rnacentral:rRNA from 1 species
GACGAACGCUGGCGGCGUGCUUAACACAUGCAAGUCGAACGGUGAACCGGGCUUCGGCCCGGGGAUCAGUGGCGAACGGGUGCGUAACACGUGGGCAACCUGCCUCAGACACUGGGAUAACCCCGGGAAACCGGGCUAAUACCGGAUACUCCGACCGGACUGCAUGAUCCGGCCGGGAAAGCUCCGACGGUCUGAGAUGGGCCCGCGGCCUAUCAGCUUGUUGGUGGGUAACGGCCCACCAAGGCGACGACGGGAGCUGGUCUGAGAGGACGACCAGCCACACUGGAACUGAGACACGGUCCAGACUCCUACGGGAGGCAGCAGUGGGAAUCUUGCGCAAUGGGCGAAAGCCUGACGCAGCGACGCCGCGUGGGGAUGAAGGCCCUCGGGUUCGUAACCCCUUUCGGCAGGGACGAAGCGAACGUGACGGUACCUGCAGAAGAGGUCCCGGCUAACUACGUGCCAG